rnacentral:rRNA from 1 species
DUUCUSGAUGGUAGUGUAUUGGACUACCAUGGCAGUCACGGGUAACGGAGAAUUAGGGUUCGAUUCCGGAGAGGGAGCCUGAGAAACGGCUACCACAUCUAAGGAAGGCAGCAGGCGCGUAAAUUACCCAAUCCUGAUUCAGGGAGGUAGUGACAAGAAAUAACAACCUGGGGAUCUCAUGAUCUUACGGGAUUGCAAUGAGAACAAUUUAAAUCUCUUAACGAGUAACAAUUGGAGGGCAAGUCUGGUGCCAGCAGCCGCGGUAAUUCCAGCUCCAAUAGCGUAUAUUAAAGUUGUUGCAGUUAAAAAGCUCGUAGUUGAACUUCUGGCGGCGUGCCGGUAAGGCUUCGGUCUGCCGGAUUAGCGUCGUCAUCCGUCUGCAAACCUCGUUCGACCUUCACUGGUUCGGCGAGUUGAGUAGACAAUUUACUUUGAAAAAAUUAGAGUGUUUCAAGCAGGCAAUAGCCCGAAUACUUUAGCAUGGAAUAAUGGAAUAGGACUCUGUCCAUAUAUUUAAAUUGGCUGUGGGCAUGAGUAAUGAUUAAUAGGGACAGUUGGGGGCAUUAGUAUUUAAUUGUCAGAGGUGAAAUUCUUGGAUUUAUUAAAGACUAACUAAUGCGAAAGCAUUUGCCAAGGAUGUUUUCAUUAAUCAAGAACGAAAGUUAGGGGAUCAAAGACGAUCAGAUACCGUC